rnacentral:rRNA from 1 species
CCAAAUAGAGGUGAAUUUUUGUUAAUAAUUUUACUGGGCUUCCCCUUCUUCUAUAAGUUUAAUUCUAGUUAAAUAUAUACAUCAUAUUUAUUGUGUAUAGAAUGUUAUUUAAACCUAAAAUAUCUAGCACAAAAAAUUUUGUGAUCGGCUAACCCGACAAAAGUAAAUAAAUGACCAAUUAGGUGCCAGCAUUCGCGGUUACACCUGUUUUUAUUAUAUAGUUCAUGGUCCAGAGACGCUAAAAUUUAAUAAAAAGCACCCAGAGGUAAAAUUCUACCUGCCUUAUAAAUUCACCUACAGCCUACCUUAAAAACUAAAUAAUAAACAGGGAUUAGAGACCCCUUUAUUCAAUACACACCCAAACCCAGGGUAAUACAUGCUAUAUCCAAUAAACCCAAAGAAUUUGGCGGCAAUCAACCUUUCCAGAGAGACCUGUAAAUCAAUUUGACAACCCACCCUAUAUCUUACUCUAACUAAAACUUGCAUACCGUCAUUUAAAUUUUACUGUAAAGUAAAUAUUUUUAAGGUUACACAUAUAUUAGAUCAACGCGCAGUAUAUUAUUAGAGCUUUCCAUGGGUCUCAAUUUAAAUCAAAUAGAAAAGAUUUCAAACAAUCUUGUAAAGAGGAUUUGGAUGUAAUAAAAUUUUAAAAUAAUUUUAUGAUUAAGCCAUUGAUUGUGUACAUAUCGCCCGUCGCCCUCGACACGAGGUAAGUCGUAACAUAGUAGAAGUACUAGAAAGUGUUUCUUUACUUAA